UACGAACGUGACGUACUCCGACCGACGACUUAACCCUCUAGGCUUCCGACACCACCACACGAUUUCUGCACACGACUGCACUGACGAAGGGGUGCGCAAUGCUCGAUUAGUGCAUCGGACUCGUCACCGCGCUCCUGUAAUAUCGAUUGAGUGCAACUGAUUGUGUAAUUGUAAUUAAGGCAAUCUUGUAAUCGUCGACGAUAAAUCGGUAUAAUUAAUGAACCGAGUCGUGCUGACGACGCUCCAAGUGUCUAUCUGACUGCACGAUCGCGGCCGGUUCGCUGUCACGUGACAAGUCUUACGGCCAAGGUAUAAGAAACCGCGAGUUCUGAAUCAGACGCGCGAAGGUGAUAACGGCGGACGAGUCUCUCGAGCCAAGGAGACGAGGAGCGGAUACACAGAGACCAUGAAUGCCGAGACAUGCCGCAGUUGCAGCAGUUGCACUUCGGGCGAGCACGUGCAGCUUGU